rnacentral:lncRNA from 1 species
AAAUUCUAUAAUUUUAUCAUAAGUUACUAUUCAAGACAUAAAAAAUACACUGCUGUUGUACAGUAUAAAAAUUAUGAGAAUUCUUGCGGUGGACGCUCUUGUGUCAGAAAGAUGUAGUCAUCUUUUGCUGACAGAUUAAGAAGAUGUAGUCAUCUUUGUUUAAUCAGUUGAAGCUCAAAGUCGUAUCAUAAUUAUUACACAGCAUAUUAUAUCUAAGUAAAAAGUAUAAUAAAUUCUAUAAUUUUAUCAUAAGUUACUAUUCAAGACACAAAAAAUACACUGCUGUUGUACAGUAUAAAUAUUAUGGGAAUUCUUUUAGUGGACGCUCUUGUGUCAGAAAGAUGCAGUCAUCUUUUGCUGACAGAUUAAGAAGAUGUAGUCAUCUUCGCUUAAUCAGUUGAAGCUGAAAGUCGUAUCAUAAUUAUUACACAACAUAUUAUAGCAUUGCAUUGUAGUGAAUCAUUUCAAUCACUUGCUCAAUAGGGCCAUUUAUACGGAAGAAAAUAAGUCGCGACUUACAUAAAACGCGAACACACUCGUAUAAAUGGUCAAAUUCACUUCAAAUUUUAGUUAACUGCGAAUUACAUAAGAACAAUUAGGGUUUAGACUGGUCCACAAUUAGUCGCGACUUACUAGAAUUAGACCAUUUAUACAAGUGUGUUUGCGUCUUAUGUAAGUCGCGCAUUUUCUCCCAUAUAACUAGAAAUUAAUGGCCCUAAUAAGUUCUCCGUUUGGUAAUAUAAGUAUCUUCAAAAGCAAAUACCAACAGACAAUUCGAAGUUUUACGGCAAUUUGUCCAUGAAAAUU